AUGAACGCUAGCUACAGGCUUAACACAUGCAAGUCGAGGGGCAGCAUUUUAGUUUGCUUGCAAACUAAAGAUGGCGACCGGCGCACGGGUGAGUAACACGUAUCCAACCUGCCGAUAACUCGGGGAUAGCCUUUCGAAAGAAAGAUUAAUAUCCGAUAGUAUAUUAAAACCGCAUGGUUUUACUAUUAAAGAAUUUCGGUUAUCGAUGGGGAUGCGUUCCAUUAGUUUGUUGGCGGGGUAACGGCCCACCAAGACUACGAUGGAUAGGGGUUCUGAGAGGAAGGUCCCCCACAUUGGAACUGAGACACGGUCCAAACUCCUACGGGAGGCAGCAGUGAGGAAUAUUGGUCAAUGGACGAGAGUCUGAACCAGCCAAGUAGCGUGAAGGAUGACUGCCCUAUGGGUUGUAAACUUCUUUUAUAUGGGAAUAAAGUAUUCCACGUGUGGAAUUUUGUAUGUACCAUAUGAAUAAGGAUCGGCUAACUCCGUGCCAGCAGCCGCGGUAAUACGGAGGAUCCGAGCGUUAUCCGGAUUUAUUGGGUUUAAAGGGAGCGUAGGUGGAUUGUUAAGUCAGUUGUGAAAGUUUGCGGCUCAACCGUAAAAUUGCAGUUGAAACUGGCAGUCUUGAGUACAGUAGAGGUGGGCGGAAUUCGUGGUGUAGCGGUGAAAUGCUUAGAUAUCACGAAGAACUCCGAUUGCGAAGGCAGCUCACUAGACUGCAACUGACACUGAUGCUCGAAAAUGUGGGUAUCAAACAGGAUUAGAUACCCUGGUAGUCCACACAGUAAACGAUGAAUACUCGCUGUUUGCGAUAUACAGUAAGCGGCCAAGCGAAAGCAUUAAGUAUUCCACCUGGGGAGUACGCCGGCAACGGUGAAACUCAAAGGAAUUGACGGGGGCCCGCACAAGCGGAGGAACAUGUGGUUUAAUUCGAUGAUACGCGAGGAACCUUACCCGGGCUUAAAUUGCAUUUGAAUAAUCUGGAAACAGGUUAGCCGCAAGGCAAAUGUGAAGGUGCUGCAUGGUUGUCGUCAGCUCGUGCCGUGAGGUGUCGGCUUAAGUGCCAUAACGAGCGCAACCCUUAUCUUUAGUUACUAACAGGUUAUGCUGAGGACUCUAGAGAGACUGCCGUCGUAAGAUGUGAGGAAGGUGGGGAUGACGUCAAAUCAGCACGGCCCUUACGUCCGGGGCUACACACGUGUUACAAUGGGGGGUACAGAAGGCAGCUACCUGGCGACAGGAUGCUAAUCCCAAAAACCUCUCUCAGUUCGGAUCGAAGUCUGCAACCCGACUUCGUGAAGCUGGAUUCGCUAGUAAUCGCGCAUCAGCCAUGGCGCGGUGAAUACGUUCCCGGGCCUUGUACACACCGCCCGUCAAGCCAUGAAAGCCGGGGGUACCUGAAGUACGUAACCGCAAGGAGCGUCCUAGGGUAAAACUGGUAAUUGGGGCU
rnacentral:rRNA from 1 species